GACGAACGCUGGCGGCGUGCCUAAUACAUGCAAGUUGAGCGAUGAAGAUUGGUGCUUGCACCAAUUUGAAGAGCAGCGAACGGGUGAGUAACGCGUGGGGAAUCUGCCUUUGAGCGGGGGACAACAUUUGGAAACGAAUGCUAAUACCGCAUAACAACUUUAAACAUAAGUUUUAAGUUUGAAAGAUGCAAUUGCAUCACUCAAAGAUGAUCCCGCGUUGUAUUAGCUAGUUGGUGAGGUAAAGGCUCACCAAGGCGAUGAUACAUAGCCGACCUGAGAGGGUGAUCGGCCACAUUGGGACUGAGACACGGCCCAAACUCCUACGGGAGGCAGCAGUAGGGAAUCUUCGGCAACGGACGAAAGUCUGACCGAGCAACGCCGCGUGAGUGAAGAAGGUUUUCGGAUCGUAAAACUCUGUUGGUAGAGAAGAACGUUGGUGAGAGUGGAAAGCUCAUCAAGUGACGGUAACUACCCAGAAAGGGACGGCUAACUACGUG
rnacentral:rRNA from 1 species